rnacentral:rRNA from 1 species
AGUGAACGCUGGCGGCAGGCCUAACACAUGCAAGUCGAACGGCAGCACAAGAGAGCUUGCUCUCUGGGUGGCGAGUGGCGGACGGGUGAGGAAUGCAUCGGAAUCUGCCCAUUUGUGGGGGAUAACCUCGGGAAACCGGGACUAAUACCGCAUACGACCUACGGGUGAAAGCAGGGGAUCUUCGGACCUUGCGCAGAUGGAUGAGCCGAUGCCGGAUUAGCUAGUUGGAGGGGUAAAGGCCCACCAAGGCGACGAUCCGUAGCUGGUCUGAGAGGAUGAUCAGCCACACUGGGACUGAGACACGGCCCAGACUCCUACGGGAGGCAGCAGUGGGGAAUAUUGGACAAUGGGCGCAAGCCUGAUCCAGCCAUGCCGCGUGUGUGAAGAAGGCCUUCGGGUUGUAAAGCACUUUUGUUGGGAAAGAAAAGCAGCCGGUUAAUACCCGGUUGUCAUGACGGUACACAAAGAAUAAGCACCGGCUAACUUCGUG